rnacentral:rRNA from 1 species
UACUCGAGUGGCGAAAGGGCGAGGAAUACAUGGAUAACGUGCCUUUGGCAUGGGGACAGCUGAGGGAAACUUCAGGUAAUACCCAAUGAGACCACAGUGCUUUCGGGCACAGGGGUCAAAGAUGGGGCUCCUUCGGGACCUAUCGGCCACAGAGCGGUCCAUGUCCUAUCAGCUUGUUGGUGAGGUAAUGGCUCACCAAGGCGACGACGGGUACCGGGACUGAGAGGUUGACCCGGCGCAUCGGGACUGAGACACUGCCCGGACUCCUACGGGAGGCUGCAGUAACGAAUAUUGGUCAAUGGGCGAAAGCCUGAACCAGCGACGCCGCGUGUGGGAGGAAGCCCUUCGGGGUGUAAACCACUGUCAGGGAUUACCAAGCAAUGGAGGCUAAUACCCUCCUGCGUUGGGGCGUCCCAGAGGAAGUCACGGCUAACUUCGUGCCAGCAGCCGCGGUAAUACGAAGGUGGCGAGCGUUGUUCGGAAUCACUGGGCUUAAAGAGCACGUAGGCGGACUGCCAAGCGUCUUGUGAAAUCCCCCGGCUCAACCGGGGAAUUGCUGGGCGAACUGGUAGUCUUGAGGCAAGUAGGGGCAGAUGGAACUCUUGGUGGAGCGGUGGAAUGCGUAGAUAUCAAGAGGAACGCCAGAGGCGAAGCCGAUCUGCUGGGCUUGACCUGACGCUGAGGUGCGAAAGCCAGGGGAGCAAACGGGAUUAGAUACCCCGGUAGUCCUGGCCAUAAACGAUGUCCACUAGAUCGGUGAACUUCUGACAGUGUGCCGGUCGAAACAAAAGCGUUAAGUGGACCGCCUGGGGAGUACGGUCGCAAGGCUAAAACUCAAAGGAAUUGACGGGGGCUCACACAAGCGGUGGAGCAUGUUGCUUAAUUCGAUGCAACGCGAAGAACCUUAUCCUGGGCUUGACAUGCUUGGAUGCCCAUCUGGAAACAGAGUAGGCUGCCCUUCGGGGUGAAACUUGCACAGGUGCUGCAUGGCUGUCGUCAGCUCGUGUCGUGAGAUGUUGGGUUAAGUCCCGUAACGAGCGCAACCCUUGUCGUUAGUUGCCAGCUGCGUAAUAGGCUGGGGACUCUAGCGAGACGGCCGGUGUUAAUCCGGAGGAAGGUGGGGAUGAUGUCAAGUCCUCAUGUCCUUUAUGCCCAGG